rnacentral:rRNA from 1 species
GAUGAACGCUGGCGGCGUGCCUAAUACAUGCAAGUCGAGCGAACAGACGAGGAGCUUGCUCCUCUGACGUUAGCGGCGGACGGGUGAGUAACACGUGGAUAACCUACCUAUAAGACUGGGAUAACUUCGGGAAACCGGAGCUAAUACCGGAUAAUAUAUUGAACCGCAUGGUUCAAUAGUGAAAGACGGUUUUGCUGUCACUUAUAGAUGGAUCCGCGCCGCAUUAGCUAGUUGGUAAGGUAACGGCUUACCAAGGCAACGAUGCUUAGCCGACCUGAGAGAGUGAUCAUCCACACGGUAACUGUGACACGGUCCAGACGCCUACGGUAGGCAGCAGUAGGAAAUCUUCCGCAAUGGGCGAAAACCUGACGAAGCAACGCCGCGUAAGUGAUAAAGGUCUUCGAAUCGUAAAACUCUGUUAUUAGAGAAGAGCAAAUGUGUAAGUAGCUAUGCACGUCUUGACGGUACCUAAUCAGAAAGCCACGGCUAACUACGUG